rnacentral:rRNA from 1 species
GCAUAUCAAUAAGCGGAGGAAAAGAAACCAACAGGGAUUGCCCCAGUAACGGCGAGUGAAGCGGCAACAGCUCAAAUUUGAAAUCUGGCCCCCCAGGGCCCGAGUUGUAAUUUGCAGAGGAUGCUUUUGGCGCGGCGCCUUCCGAGUUCCCUGGAACGGGACGCCAUAGAGGGUGAGAGCCCCGUCUGGUCGGACGCCAAGCCAGUGUAAAGCUCCUUCGACGAGUCGAGUAGUUUGGGAAUGCUGCUCUAAAUGGGAGGUAUAUGUCUUCUAAAGCUAAAUAUAGGCCAGAGACCGAUAGCGCACAAGUAGAGUGAUCGAAAGAUGAAAAGCACUUUGAAAAGAGGGUUAAACAGUACGUGAAAUUGUUGAAAGGGAAGCACUUGUGACCAGACUUGGGCCCGGUGAAUCAUCCAGCGUUCUCGCUGGUGCACUUCGCCGGGCUCAGGCCAGCAUCAGUUCGCCGCGGGGGACAAAAGCUUCGGGAACGUGGCUCCCUCGGGAGUGUUAUAGCCCGUUGCACAAUACCCUGCGGUGGACUGAGGUUCGCGCUCCGCAAGGAUGCUGGCGUAAUGGUCACCAGUGACCCGUCUUGAAACACGGACCAAGGAGUCGUCUUCGUAUGCGAGUGUUCGGGUGUCAAACCCCUACGCGUAAUGAAAGUGAACGCAGGUGAGAGCUUCGGCGCAUCAUCGACCGAUCCUGAUGUUCUCGGAUGGAUUUGAGUAAGAGCAUACGGGGCCGGACCCGAAAGAAGGUGAACUAUGCCUGUAUAGGGUGAAGCCAGAGGAAACUCUGGUGGAGGCUCGCAGCGGUUCUGACGUGCAAAUCGAUCGUCAAAUAUGGGCAUGGGGGGCGAAAGACUAAUCGAACCUUCUAGUAGCUGGUUUCCGCCGAAG